rnacentral:tRNA from 1 species
GGAUACAGCUCAAGUGGUAGAGUGUAUGCUUAGCAUGCACGAGGUCCUGGGUUCAAUCCCCAGUAUCUCCA